AGAGUUUGAUCAUGGCUCAGGACGAACGCUGGCGGCGUGCCUAACACAUGCAAGUGGAGCGACGAACCAGGGCUUGCCCUGGGGCAAAGCCGCGAACGGGUGAGUAACACGUGGGUCACCUGCCCCGAUGACCGGGACAACCCGAGGAAACUCGGGCUAAUACCGGAUGUGCCCAAUGGGUAAAGGAACUUCGGCCUCCG
rnacentral:rRNA from 1 species